CCUACGGUGUGCAGCAGUGAGGAAUAUUGGUCAAUGGACGAGAGUCUGAACCAGCCAAGUAGCGUGAAGGAUGACUGCCCUAUGGGUUGUAAACUUCUUUUAUAAAGGAAUAAAACGAGGCACGUGUGCCUUUUUGCAUGUACUUUAUGAAUAAGGAUCGGCUAACUCCGUGCCAGCAGCCGCGGUAAUACGGAGGAUCCGAGCGUUAUCCGGAUUUAUUGGGUUUAAAGGGAGCGUAGAUGGGUUUUUAAGUCAGUGUGGAAAGUUUGCGGCUCAACCGUAAAAUUGCAAUUGCAACAGGGCGUUUUGAGUACAGUUGAGGGAGGCGGAAUUCG
rnacentral:rRNA from 1 species